GGCAGCAGCCAUAUCACACUGUAACUCACAACUAGUGACCCACUGAAGCUCAGCAGGUGUGAGCCUGACCAGCACCUGGAUGGGAGACCUCCUGGGAAAAACUAAGGCUGCUGCUG
rnacentral:rRNA from 1 species